GUGCUUGCUUCGGCAACACAUAUGCUAACAUUGGAACAAUACAGUGAAGAUUGGCAUGGUCCUUGCUCAAGAAUGACACACAAAUUCAUGAAGGAUUCCGUAUUUAA